GACGUAGGAAGCAAGCGUUGUCCGGAAUUACUGGGCGUAAAGAGCUCGUAGGCGGGAUCGUAAGUCUUAGAGUAAAUCUCACGGCUCAACCGUGGGGCCUUCUGAGAUACUGCGAUUCUUGAGGAUGUCAGAGGAAAGUAGAAUUCCCGGUGUAGCGGUGAAAUGCGUAGAUAUCGGGAGGAAUACCAGUGGCGAAGGCGACUUUCUGGGACAUUCCUGACGCUGAGGAGCGAAAGCGUGGGGAGCAAACGGG
rnacentral:rRNA from 1 species